ensembl:misc_RNA Metazoa_SRP Metazoan signal recognition particle RNA
ACUUGGCAUGGUGGUGCACACCUGUAGUCCCAGCUGCCCGUGAGGUUGAGGCAGGAGGACCACUUGAGCCCAGGAGUUCUGGGUUAUGGUGUGCUGUGUUGAUCGGGCAUCCACAAUAAGUUCAGCAUCAAUGUAGUGACCUCCUGGGAGUGAGGGACCAGCAAGUUGCCUUAGGAGGGGUAAGCUGGCCUAGGUUAGAAAUAUAACAGGCCAAUACUCCCAUGCUGAUGGGUAGUGGGAUCAUGCCUGUGAUCAUACCUGGGCAACAUAGUGAGACUCCAUCUCUA